rnacentral:rRNA from 1 species
GGACCCGCACAAGCGGUGGAGUAUGUGGCUUAAUUCGAUGCAACGCGAAGAACCUUACCUAGGCUUGACAUGCUUGUCGUACUCUCCCGAAAAGGAGAGGUCACUUCGGGUGGACAAUGCACAGGUGCUGCAUGGCCGUCGUCAGCUCGUGUCGUGAGAUGUUUGGUUAAGUCCAGCAACGAGCGCAACCCCUGUGAACUGUUGCCAGCGCGUAAAGGCGGGGACUCUGUUCAGACUGCCCAGAUCAACUGGGAGGAAGGUGGGGACGACGUCAGGUCAGUAUGGCCCUUACGCCUAGGGCUGCACACGUACUACAAUGGGGAAUACAGACGGACGCUAAGCCGCGAGUGGUGC